AGUCGACGGGAUCCAUCAAGCUUGCUUGGUGGUGAGAGUGGCGAACGGGUGAGUAAUGCGUGACCGACCUGCCCCAUGCUCCGGAAUAGCUCCUGGAAACGGGUGGUAAUGCCGGAUGUUCCACAUGAUCGCAUGUGAUUGUGGGAAAGAUUCUAUCGGCGUGGGAUGGGGUCGCGUCCUAUCAGCUUGUUGGUGAGGUAACGGCUCACCAAGGCUUCGACGGGUAGCCGGCCUGAGAGGGCGACCGGCCACAUUGGGACUGAGAUACGGCCCAGACUCCUACGGGAGGCAGCAGUGGGGAAUAUUGCACAAUGGGCGCAAGCCUGAUGCAGCGACGCCGCGUGAGGGAUGGAGGCCUUCGGGUUGUAAACCUCUUUUGUUUGGGAGCAAGCCUUCGGGUGAGUGUACCUUUCGAAUAAGCGCCGGCUAACUACGUGCCAGCAGCCGCGGUAAUACGUAGGGCGCAAGCGUUAUCCGGAUUUAUUGGGCGUAAAGGGCUCGUAGGCGGCUCGUCGCGUCCGGUGUGAAAGUCCAUCGCUUAACGGUGGAUCUGCGCCGGGUACGGGCGGGCUGGAGUGCGGUAGGGGAGACUGGAAUUCCCGGUGUAACGGUGGAAUGUGUAGAUAUCGGGAAGAACACCGAUGGCGAAGGCAGGUCUCUGGGCCGUCACUGACGCUGAGGAGCGAAAGCGUGGGGAGCGAACAGGAUUAGAUACCCUGGUAGUCCACGCC
rnacentral:rRNA from 1 species